rnacentral:rRNA from 1 species
UGGGGAAUUUUGGGCAAUGGGCGAAAGCCUGACCCAGCAACGCCGCGUGAAGGAUGAAGUAUUUCGGUAUGUAAACUUCGAAAGAAUAGGAAGAAUAAAUGACGGUACUAUUUAUAAGGUCCGGCUAACUACGUGCCAGCAGCCGCGGUAAUACGUAGGGACCAAGCGUUGUUCGGAUUUACUGGGCGUAAAGGGCGCGUAGGCGGCAAUUCAAGUCAUCUGUGAAAUCUCCGGGCUUAACUCGGAACGGUCAGAUGAUACUGCUUUGCUAGAGUGCGGAAGGGGCAAUCGGAAUUCUUGGUGUAGCGGUGAAAUGCGUAGAUAUCAAGAGGAACACCUGAGGUGAAGACGGGUUGCUGGGCUGACACUGACGCUGAGGCGCGAAAGCCAGGGGAGCAAACGGGAUUAGAUACCCCCGUAGUCCCUGAGCGGGCUGGCAAGGCGCAU